GCAGGUCACUCAAGGGGAUGCGCCACUCUUUGAAUACCCUCCUGUUGGCAAAGCCGGUUCGGGCAAGACAGUAUGUCAAGUUAACUUUGACAGACCCUCCUGAUGGCGUCGAUUCAGAAAACAGGCAAGACAGUAAGUCGUGUUAACUCUAACAAACCCUCCCGUUGGCAAAGCCAAUUCAGGCAAGACAGUAAGUCAUGUAAACAUUGACAAACCCUCCUGUUGGCAAAGCUGGUUCGGGCAAAGACAGUAAGCCGAGUUAACUUUGACAGACCCUCCUGAUGGCACCGUUCGGCCGGGGGGACCAUCAGGCAAGACAGUAAGUCGUUUUAACUCUAACAAACCCUCCCGAUGGCAGAGCCAAUUCAGGCCACACAGUUAGUCGGGUAGAAAUUGACACACCCUCCUGUUGGCAAAGCCGGUUCGGGCAAGACAGUAAGUCCAGUUAACUUUGACAGACCCUCCUGAUGGCACCGUUCGGCGGACCAUCAGGCAAGACAGUAAGUCGAGUUUAACUCUAACAAACCCUCCCGAUGGCAUAGCCAAUUCAGCCAAGACAGUAAGUCAAGUUAAGAGAGGCACAAACGUUUAAAUGAGGACAACAAAAGGAUCCCCAUGAGACCCCCACGCCCACAUUGUUUUCCAUAUCCAUGAUACCAAGCAACGCCUCAACAAGGCCACAACAUCAACGCACGCGCUAACAUUGUGGAUCAAAGAGACCGCUUCAUGGUUCAUCCAAUACCAC
rnacentral:misc_RNA from 1 species